rfam:Schistosoma mattheei strain Denwood, Zambia genome assembly, scaffold: SMTD_scaffold0029827
AUUCAAUUGACGAGUCCCAAAUAGGAUGAAACACGCAUCCUAGAU